GACAGAAGAUGUUAUAAUAUUUUAUAAUUGUAUAAUUGUAUUGUAAUUAUAAAACAUGAUGACAGAAGAUGUUAUAAUAUUUUAAAAUGACAGAAGAUGUUAUAAUUUUUUAAAAUGACAGAAGAUGUUAUAAUAUUUUAAAAUGACAGAAGAUGUCAUAAUAUUUUAAAAUGACAGAAGAUGUUAUAAUAUUUUUAAAUGACAGAAGAUGUUAUAAUAUUUUUAAAUGACAGAAG